AUUGAACGCUGGCGGCAUGCCUUACACAUGCAAGUCGAACGGCAGCGGGGGAGAAGCUCGCUUUUCCUGCCGGCGAGUGGCGAACGGGUGAGUAAUACAUCGGAACGUGCCCUGUAGUGGGGGAUAACUAGUCGAAAGAUUAGCUAAUACCGCAUACGAACUGAGGGUGAAAGUGGGGGACCGCAAGGCCUCAUGCUAUAGGAGCGGCCGAUGUCUGAUUAGCUAGUUGGUGGGGUAAAGGCCUACCAAGGCGACGAUCAGUAGCUGGUCUGAGAGGACGAUCAGCCACACUGGGACUGAGACACGGCCCAGACUCCUACGGGAGGCAGCAGUGGGGAAUUUUGGACAAUGGGCGAAAGCCUGAUCCAGCAAUGCCGCGUGUGUGAAGAAGGCUUUCGGGUUGUAAAGCACUUUUGUCCGGAAAGAAAUGGCUCUGGUUAAUACCUGGGGUCGAUGACGGUACCGGAAGAAUAAGGACCGGCUAACUACGUGCCAGCCGCCGCGGUAA
rnacentral:rRNA from 1 species